GGGCCCGGUGGGCACAUUACUGGCUUGAUAACCCAAGUCUUCCGAGUUCAACUCUCGGCGGGUCCA
rnacentral:tRNA from 1 species